UGAGUAACCUGCCCUUAACUCUGGGAUAAGCCUGGGAAACUGGGUCUAAUACCGGAUAUGACUCCUCAUCGCAUGGUGGGGGGUGGAAAGCUUUUNUGGUUUGGUU
rnacentral:rRNA from 1 species